UACGUAGGCAGCAAACGUUGUUCGGAAUUACUGGGCGUAAAGAGUGUGUAGGCGGUUUGGCAAGUUUGGUGUGAAAUCUCCCGGCUUAACUGGGAGGGUGCGCCGAAAACUGCCAGACUAGAGUACUGGAGAGGAAAGCGGAAUUCCUGGUGUAGCGGUGAAAUGCGUAGAUAUCAGGAGGAACACCGGUGGUGUAGACGGCUUUCUGGACAGUCACUGACGCUGAGACACGAAAGCGUGGGUAGCAAAC
rnacentral:rRNA from 1 species